CAAUAUCAUGUUGUGGUCAAGAGAUGUCGACUCUUAAGUCGAGAUCCAAUGAACGAUUGCUUCACUCGGUGGAUCUCAUCUCCUUUAAUCGUUCAUUGUGCAGAUCUUCCACGGAAUUAUCGUACAUUUCUACAUAUAAGAACUGAGGAGUUCCAUAAAACGACAGAAUAAUCGACUGAGAUACCCAGUGAGGAACAGAGAGAGAUCUCAUCCUCCAUCCCAAAGCUCCUUCUAUGAAAUUAUUGAAAGUCAACUAUGCUUAGACUCCUACUUUAAGAAAACUAUUCCUUUAAUAAGAGUCCAUCAGUUUCCUGGAUGUAUAUAACGCAGAAAUCCCUUAUCUCUAUCACAUUUAUAUCAAUUCCAUUUAUAGUUGGACUUCGUGAUAUACAGUCUCUGCUGGAUACUUCAAACUCACUCCUGAUUGCUUUAUUACAACUGAAUCACUUGGCAUUAGAAAACAAGUGGAACAUGAUUAUAGACUUCUCUUUUCUCAAUAUUUUGGUGUACAAUGCAUAUUCUGCUAUUGCCUAUUACAUAUAAAUAGGUAUUCGGAGCUAUUAAGUGUAAAAAUACAUAACAAACCUCUUAACUACUGUAUACUUAUGUUGAAAUAUCUGAAUGAUAUUGAAAUCCCCAAACUUAUUGAGUCGGGACUCCUUCUUCAAACAGCCCAAUUGGUUGUCACAUAUUGGAAUAUUAUUCUCGCGAAGAUCUAGGAUCUCAACACAAAUAAAUAAAUUAUUAAAUGUUUUCCAAACAAGAUAAUUAUAAGUUGUUUUACAAAAAAAACAAUAGUUUAAAUGUAACAAAAUAAUAAGACGAUUGUUUUAGUAUUUAAAAAUAACAAAUUAAGAUCGAGUUGUAAGUUUAUUUUUUUCAUAUGAGCGUUUCAUUUUAAGAAAAAAAUAAUAUCCACUUAUUUUUAAUACAUAAUUGAUUUCUUAGAUAUAAUGAUUGUUAUUUAUUAUAAAUUGUACCUAAUAUUAAGAUUAUGGUGUAUAUACCCUAUAUAAAGUAAAUAUAUAAAUAUUCACAAA
rnacentral:lncRNA from 1 species